CCAUUAUUAUUUCUCAUUUUCCCCUCUUUCUCCACGCAUUCUUACCUAAACAAAUUCCUCUCAUGAAGAUCCAUCUGCAAUCACACCCAAAAAUCAUAUAUAUGAAACUCAGCAAUCCUCACAGUCAACAUACAUUUGCAAUGAUCUAAAGAGGAGAGGCCGAAUUGCAAAUACUAAUGAAAUAAAAUACAGAUCAAAAGAAAUCUAUGUAAUACAAGAUCCCCCAGUUUCUCACUUUUUCUAUCACGCUCUUCACUCCACCGAGUACAUAUAGUUAAAAAUGAAACCUUUUGCGCUUGAAAACAACACCAGAGAUCAAUUAUCAACAGAACUAGGAAAUGAAAGGAAUAACGAAAUUAAUGAACACAGAUCAAACACCCAUGAAACCUUCUCUCUACACCAGUCGUAGAGAGAAGGAUUAGAGGGACAGGUUAAAGAUCGUGAUU
rnacentral:lncRNA from 1 species